AUACGUAGGGUGCAAGCGUUAAUCGGAAUUACUGGGCGUAAAGCGUGCGCAGGCGGUUUUGUAAGACAGAGGUGAAAUCCCCGGGCUCAACCUGGGAACUGCCUUUGUGACUGCAAGGCUAGAGUACGGCAGAGGGGGAUGGAAUUCCGCGUGUAGCAGUGAAAUGCUUAGAGAUGCGGAGGAAAACCGAUGGCGAAGGCAAUCCCCUGGGCCUGGACAGACGCACACGCUCUAAAGCAUGGGGAGCUAACAAGAUGAGAUACCCUGGUAGUCCACGCCCCAAACGAUGUCAACGGGUUAGUGGGGAAGUCGGUUCUCAGUAACGAAGCUAAAGCGUUAAGUUGACCGCCUGGGGAGUUCGGUCGCAAGGUUAAAGCUCAAAUGAAUUGAUGGGG
rnacentral:rRNA from 1 species